CGCGAGGGGAAGCGGAGCAGGGCCCGUGGUGUUCGCAGCAGCAGCACCUGAUCCCGGUGGCGCCGGGACUGCGGCCAGAGGGCUCCCCACCUAGUCGGUUCCCACCCCAAGCACCGAAACCCACGAGCAGCGCCUGCGACCGAGAUUCGCUUUCAGACCUGUGCACGGGGUUAUUUUUUAUACGUAGUUUGAGGCGCAAGGACUGUGCACUUACAAGCAAUUCAGGGUAUUGUUCAGAUCUUUCUAGAAGGUGACCAUCUCCCCGAGGAGAAAGAACCCCCGUCAGGCUGCAGGUGCGGGUCACAGUGGGCCGAGUCCAGCUGGAAGCAGGACCGCUGAGGCUGGGUCCGGAAAGGCUGCCCACGAGCCCUGUGAACGCACGGUCGCCUUAUCCCGUCUGGCCUCAUGUCCUCACCAUGCAAAUUUUAAAGCAGUGCUUGGUGCAUGGUGAGCAGAGGUAGAAGGGCAGGAGGUGAACUGCAGAACAGUGCACAGACCACACGUCCAGCCCAGAGAUGGGGAAUUGCCUCCGAUCCCACAUCUCGGGGCAAAAAGUCAGGAGAGCUCGAAGACUCAGCCUCAUACAGCAACUGCCAAUAGGCAUUUAUGACCACAGAAGAGAUGGCGAAGACAAUGUCCAGGAGUGUGUGAUCUGAUGGACCUUGUCCCUGGAAAUGCCAUUCGGUGUCUGCCAUGCAUGCACCUGUUCCACGUGGCCCGCACAGACGAGUGGCUGAUGAGCAGCACCACAUGUCCCUGCUGCAGGUGGCUGGUGCUUGUAACACGGCCGUCCUAGGAGAUGGACUGCGCCAGGAGCGCUGGUGUGAUUUCCCGUGAAUCACCAUCUUUAGAGACUUUCAUCUUUUGCCACUGAGCCUAGCCAGGGAUUAGAAAUUAGGAUGAGACAUAAAGGUUUCCUUAAAAGAUCUAGAUGUAUCUCUCUCCCUCUCUUUGAAAAUCAAUAAAAAGUCAUUAAAAAUACCGUCUUAUUAUUGUUCCUGUACCCAGGAAUUGUGUGAUGUUACAGAAGCUCUACAUGUUUGUAUGGUGUGUGUUAAAGAUUAGGAAUAAGAUGUUUUCUAAAUAAAAAAAAAUCUCAACCACCCAAA